rnacentral:rRNA from 1 species
AUUGAACGCUGGCGGCGGGCCUAACACAUGCAAGUCGAACGAGUGGCGGACGGGUGGGUAAUGUCGGAGAAACUGACUGAUGGAGGGGGAUAACUACUGGAAACGGUAGAUACUACAGCAUACCAGCAGCUGGGCCCAGGUGGGAGUAGGUAGUUGGUGGGGUAACGGCUAACCAAGGCGACGAUCCCUAGCUGGCAUGAGAGGAUGAUCAGCCACACUGGAACUUAGACACGGUCCAGACUCCUACGGUAGGCAGCAGUGGGGAAUAUUGCACAAUGGGCGCAAGCCUGAUGCAGCGAUGCCGCGUGCAUGAAGAAGGUCUUCGGGUUGUAAAGUACUGUCAGUGGGGAGGCGUUACCCGGCGAAGAAGCCCCGGCUAACUCCGUGCCAGCAGCCGCGGUAAUUC